UACGUAGGGUGCGAGCGUUAAUCGGAAUUACUGGGCGUAAAGGGCUCGUAGGCGGCCAACUAAGUCAGACGUGAAAUCCCUCGGCUUAACCGAGGAACUGCCUGCCAGACUGUGAGGCUUGAGACCGGGAGAGGUGAGUGGAAUUCCCAGUGUAGAGGUGAAAUUCGUAGAUAUUGGGAAGAACACCAGUGGCGAAGGCGGCUCACUGGCCCGGUACUGACGCUCAUGUGCGAAAGCGUGGGGAGCAAACAGG
rnacentral:rRNA from 1 species